rnacentral:ncRNA from 1 species
UCAAAUAGUAGGCAAAUCUAUUGAAAAAUAGAGACGCAAAGCCACGGGUCUAAAGCAGGCCUUUCUGCCUGUCAUGACGGCCGGGUUGCAGAA